GUGAGGAAUUUUCCGCAAUGGGCGAAAGCCUGACGGAGCAAUGCCGCGUGAAGGAUGAAGGCCUAUGGGUUGUAAACUUCUUUUCUCAGAAAAGAAUUAUGACGGUAUCUGAGGAAUAAGCAUCGGCUAACUCUGUGCCAGCAGCCGCGGUAAGACAGAGGAUGCAAGCGUUAUCCGGAAUGAUUGGGCGUAAAGCGUCUGUAGGUUGUUUAAAAAGUAUUCUGUCAAAGAUUAGGGCUUAACCCUAGAUAGGCAGAAUAAACUUUUAAGCUAGAGUUUGGUAGAGGCAGAGGGAAUUCCCGGUGGAGCGGUGAAAUGCGUAGAUAGCGGGAGGAACACCAAAGGCGAAGGCACUCUGCUGGGCCAAUACUAACACUGAGAGACGAAAGCGAGGAGAGCAAAUGGGAUUAGAAGCCCCAGUAGUCC
rnacentral:rRNA from 1 species